rnacentral:lncRNA from 1 species
UUAAGUUUUUCUCUCAAUCUCCCUCUCCCUUAAUCCCCUAAUCCAUCAAUCUAGGUGGUCCUGUGAAAAGAUAGGAAGAGGGGAGAUGGAUCUAGUUCUUUUUGCAGAUCCUUGCAGAUUGAUAUUUCAGAUCCGACGAUGAAGCACUUGUAGAUCAGAUAAGGUUUAUUUCUUCUGAACAACAAGAAAGGUAUGCAUCGUAAUAUUGUUAGAUCCAAUUAUUUGAUUUCAAUCUUGGUAUAAAAGUUUUUCCGCA